rnacentral:tRNA from 1 species
GGCCCUUUAGCUCAGUGGUUAGAGGAGGCGACUCAUAAUCGCUUGGUCGCUGGUUCAAGUCCAGCAAGGGCCACCA